CGGGCUUUUGCUGGGAAACCCCGUCGUUCGGGACGAUGGGGUCGCAGGUUCAAAUCCUGCCACUCCGACCA
rnacentral:tRNA from 1 species